rnacentral:rRNA from 1 species
UACGUAGGGGGCAAGCGUUGUCCGGAAUCAUUGGGCGUAAAGCGCGUGUAGGCGGUUCGGUAAGUCUGCUGUGAAAGUCCAGGGCUCAACCCUGGGAUGCCGGUGGAUACUGUCGGACUAGAGUACGGAAGAGGCGAGUGGAAUUCCCGGUGUAGCGGUGAAAUGCGCAGAUAUCAGGAGGAACACCAACGGCGAAGGCAGCUCGCUGGGACGGUACUGACACUGAGGCGCGAAAGCGUGGGGAGCGAACAGG